UAGCCGUAAACGAUACUCGCUAGGUGUCGGCCACGGUGCGACCGUUGUCGGUGCCGUAGGGAAGCCGUGAAGCGAGCCACCUGGGAAGUACGGCCGCAAGGCUGAAACUUAAAGGAAUUGGCGGGGGAGCACCACAACGGGUGGAGCUUGCGGUUUAAUUGGAUUCAACGCCGGAGAUCUUACCGGGACCGACAGCAACAUGAAGGCCAGGCUGAAGACUUUGCCGGAUUAGCUGAGAGGAGGUGCAUGGCGUAGUCGUGU
rnacentral:rRNA from 1 species